GAGGGCACAGCUCCAGUAGUAGAGCACGUGCUUAGCAUGCCCGAGGUCCUGGGUUCAAUCCCCAGUGCCUCUG
rnacentral:tRNA from 1 species